rnacentral:lncRNA from 1 species
CCCUCCUCUUCGUGUCGCCCGGCCAGCCUCGUCGUCUACUCUGCCUGGUGACCGUGCUGGCCACACGCCUCCUCGGCACCUUGGGCACGACAGAUCCAGCUCAGGCGUGGCGACGACUCCUCCCCGCGGCGAUGACGACCUCGGCGAUGACGAGGGUGGCCAAGCGGUGCGAGGACGAGGGCGACCGGGGCAGAGUGGAUCUAGGCGGUGCGGUUGUACCAGUGACGGCGACGACGACAACGGGGGCGGUGGCGGUGACGGCGGCGCUAGUUUUUAUUCAUUUUAUUAUUUUUUGGAAUUUUAUUUUUUUCGUGAUUUUAUCUCUUUGCAUGCGGUCAGCUUAAGCACCCGCAUGCGAAAAUCGGAUUUUCGCAUGCAGUUGUGCUAGCCGCAUGUAAAGAUCGCUAUUUUUGCAGACGAUUUCGCGCAUGCGGCUGGCCCAACCGCAUGCAAAAAUCCUUAUCGCCCGUUUGCAAUAGCUGGUUCUGUGGUAGUCAGCACCCUUUGGGUUCGGACAUGAGGUGCGUGUCACGCCUAGAAAUUUCUCACAUGAAUUUAUGAACUUAAUUGUGUAUUAAAAUCCCUGUCCAGGACCAGGCAGGGUACACAAAAAGACAAUAUUGAUUACAUAAGCAUCAUUCUUAGAAACAACUGAAAAUAACACUUAUUCUAACGAAAAUGCAGCAGAAAGAAAGGUAGACUAGCUCCAGCGGGUACGGCUCCAGUCCACAGGCAAAGCUUCAACGGUAGACCAGCUCACUCCUGAGAGUCACCUCCAUCGGACUCAACUUCUAGCUCUGGAGGGAGAAAUUGAGCAAGGCUGAGUACAAAC